rnacentral:rRNA from 1 species
UACGUAGGGUGCGAGCGUUAAUCGGAAUUACUGGGCGUAAAGCGUGCGCAGGCGGUUUUGUAAGCCAGAUGUGAAAUCCCCGGGCUUAACCUGGGAAUGGCAUUUGGGACUGCAAGGCUUGAGUGCGGCAGAGGAGACUGGAAUUCCUGGUGUAGCAGUGAAAUGCGUUAGAUAUCAGGAGGAACACCGAUGGCGAAGGCAGGUCUCUGGGCUGACACUGACGCUCAUGCACGAAAGCGUGGGGAGCAAACAGG